rnacentral:lncRNA from 1 species
CUUCUCAAAUGUUGAAUUCAUGACGCAAACUGUCUAUAUGUGAGAGUGAAAUAUGAACAGGUGGAGAAAAGAUACCGUAAAAUGCAGUCCCUAAGUCAUUAAGUAAUCAGGACAUUAAAAUACAUGCCACAAAAACAUUCCUUGGCUCUAUACUGCACUCUCCUGGAAGGAAGAGGAAGUGAAAAAAUAUAACAUUUCUAUACUCAGCUCUAUUAUUAUGAAAACAUAUUCAUAAGGAAAGUUCAUAUGUAAAAGAAUUUUUCCACACAAAGUUUUUUUAU